CAGAGUUGAAAAACUCCCAAACCCUUGUGAACAUACCUGUUAACGUUGCUUCGGCGGCGCGGCCCCGCACUGGGGCUGCAGCCUCUUCGCGAGGCGCCCGCCGGAGGUAUCUAAACUCUAUGUAUUAUUUGUCUUCUCUGAGUUGUCUUUUAAAUAAGUCA
rnacentral:misc_RNA from 1 species